AGUGAACGCUGGCGGUAGGCCUAACACAUGCAAGUCGAACGGCAGCACAGUAAGAGCUUGCUCUUACGGGUGGCGAGUGGCGGAUGGGUGAGGAAUACAUCGGAAUCUACUUUUUCGUGGGGGAUAACGUAGGGAAACUUACGCUAAUACCGCAUACGACCUACGGGUGAAAGCAGGGGAUCUUCGGACCUUGCGCGAUUGAAUGAGCCGAUGUCGGAUUAGCUAGUUGGCGGUGUAAAGGCCCACCAAGGCGACGAUCCGUAGCUGGUCUGAGAGGAUGAUCAGCCACACUGGAACUGAGACACGGUCCAGACUCCUACGGGAGGCAGCAGUGGGGAAUAUUGGACAAUGGGCGCAAGCCUGAUCCAGCCAUACCGCGUGGGUGAAGAAGGCCUUCGGGUUGUAAAGCCCUUUUGUUGGGAAAGAAAAGCAGCAGGUUAAUACCCCGCUGUUCUGACGGUACCCAAAGAAUAAGCACCGGCUAACUUCGUG
rnacentral:rRNA from 1 species